UACGAAGGGGGCUAGCGUUGUUCGGAAUUACUGGGCGUAAAGCGUGCGCAGGCGGUUGUGUAAGACAGAUGUGAAAUCCCCGGGCUCAACCUGGGAACUGCAUUUGUGACUGCACAGCUGGAGUGCGGCAGAGGGGGAUGGAAUUCCGCGUGUAGCAGUGAAAUGCGUAGAUAUGCGGAGGAACACCGAUGGCGAAGGCAAUCCCCUGGGCCUGCACUGACGCUCAUGCACGAAAGCGUGGGGAGCAAACAGG
rnacentral:rRNA from 1 species